rfam:Glycine max cultivar Williams 82 chromosome 16, whole genome shotgun sequence.
CACAUAUUGGAUGAUGACUGUCACAUGCCAUAUUCUGAUUGGAUGUAAACUUCAUGGAAGAUGAAAUGCAUUGUUAUUUUCAUUGACCAAUCAGAACAUGACACGUGACAGUUAUCAUUC